UCAGGACGAACGCUGGCGGCGUGCUUAACACAUGCAAGUCGAACGAUGAAGCUGGAGCUUGCUCCGGUGGAUUAGUGGCGAACGGGUGAGUAACACGUGAGAAAUCUGCCCCUGACUCUGGGAUAACUGCGGGAAACUGUAGCUAAUACCGGAUACUUUCCCUGGUGGGCAUCCACUGGGGAAGAAAGAAUUUCGGUCAGGGAGGAUCUCGCGGCCUAUCAGCUAGUUGGUGAGGUAACGGCUCACCAAGGCGACGACGGGUAACCGGCCUGAGAGGGUGACCGGUCACACUGGGACUGAGACACGGCCCAGACUCUACGGGAGGCAGCAGUGGGGAAUAUUGCACAAUGGGCGCAAGCCUGAUGCAGCAACGCCGCGUGAGGGAUGAAGGCUUCGGGUUGUAAACCUCUUUUAGCAGGGAAGAAGCGAAAGUGACGGUACCUGCAGAAAAAGCACCGGCUAACUACGUGCCAGCAGCCGCGGUAAUACGUAGGGUGCAAGCGUUGUCCGGAAUUAUUGGGCGUAAAGAGCUCGUAGGCGGUUUGUCACGUCUGCUGUGAAAAUCCAAGGCUCAACCUUGGACUUGCAGUGGGUACGGGCAGGCUAGAGUGCGGUAGGGGAGAUGGGAAUUCCUGGUGUAGCGGUGGAAUGCGCAGAUAUCAGGAGGAACACCAAUGGCGAAGGCACAUCUCUGGGCCGUAACUGACGCUGAGGAGCGAAAGCKUGGGGAGCGAACAGGAUUAGAUACCCUGGUAGUCCACGCCGUAAACGGUGGGUGCUAGCUGUGGGCCACAUUCCACGUGGUCCGUGACGAAGUUAACACAUUAAGCACCCCGCCUGGGGAGUACGGCCGCAAGGUAAAACUCAAAGGAAUUGACGGGGGCCCGCACAAGCGGCGGAGAUGCGGAUUAAUUCGAUGCAACGCGAAGAACCUUACCAAGGCUUGACAUAUAGAGGAAAAGUGCAGAAAUGCACUCCCCGCAAGGUCUCUAUACAGGUGGUGCAUGGUUGUCGUCAGCUCGUGUCGUGAGAUGUUGGGUUAAGUCCCGCAACGAGCGCAACCCUCGUCCUAUGUUGCCAGCACGUAAUGGUGGGAACUCAUGGGAUACUGCCGGGGUACACUCGGAGGAAGGUGGGGAUGACGUCAAAUCAUCAUGCCC
rnacentral:rRNA from 1 species